GGCAAUUGGAGGUUCCACUGAGAUCUGAGAAAGAGAGGCGCCAGCAGCAAUCAUCUUGAUGAAUCCUGGCCUGAGUGAACAAACGGUCUGGAGCCAGCCCCUCGCUGUUGGCCUUCGACCACUAACUUCGAUCUUCCAGAUGCUUUGAUGUGGGGAGAUUGUGUCACUACAACAGCACUUCUUCAGGAGCAGGUUGAUGCCCUAUGGAUGACGCAACAAGUGUCCUGUUCUCAUUUUUAUCAUUCUGUUUGUGUAACACCUGGUCAUGUUGUUAAUGCCUCAGAAAUUGUAAAAUAGUUAAAUGCCUAUAUGAGA